UGAACGCUGGCGGCAGGCCUAACACAUGCAAGUCGAGCGGAUGAAGGGAGCUUGCUCCUGGAUUCAGCGGCGGACGGGUGAGUAAUGCCUAGGAAUCUGCCUGGUAGUGGGGGAUAACGUCCGGAAACGGGCGCUAAUACCGCAUACGUCCUGAGGGAGAAAGUGGGGGAUCUUCGGACCUCACGCUAUCAGAUGAGCCUAGGUCGGAUUAGCUAGUUGGUGGGGUAAAGGCCUACCAAGGCGACGAUCCGUAACUGGUCUGAGAGGAUGAUCAGUCACACUGGAACUGAGACACGGUCCAGACUCCUACGGGGGGCAGCAGUGGGGAAUAUUGGACAAUGGGCGAAAGCCUGAUCCAGCCAUGCCGCGUGUGUGAAGAAGGUCUUCGGAUUGUAAAGCACUUUAAGUUGGGAGGAAGGGCAGUAAGUUAAUACCUUGCUGUUUUGACGUUACCAACAGAAUAAGCACCGGCUAACUUCGUG
rnacentral:rRNA from 1 species